UAGUCCACGCAGUAAACGAUGAGUGCUAGUUGUCGGGAUUUUUCUCUGUGGCGAAGCUAACGCGUUAAGCACUCCGCCUGGGGAGUACGGCCGCAAGGCUAAAACUCAAAGGAAUUGACGGGGACCCGCACAAGCAGUGGAGCAUGUGGUUUAAUUCGAUGAUACGCGAGAAACCUUACCAGCUCUUGAAUCCUGAUUACGAUUUUCAGAGAUGAAUUUUUCAGUUCGGCUGGAUCAGUGACAGGUGUUGCAUGGCUGUCGUCAGCUCGUGUCGUGAGAUAUUCGGUUAAGUCCUAUAACGAGCGCAACCCUUGUGGUUAGUUGCCAGCGAGUAAUGUCGGGAACUCUAGCCAGACUGCCGGUGCAAACCGUGAGGAAGGUGGGGAUGACGUCAAAUCAUCACGGCCCUUACGUCCUGGGCCACACACGUGCUACAAUGGUAGGGACAGAGAGCAGCCACAACGCGAGUUGGAGCGAAUCUAUAAAACCUAUCACAGUUC
rnacentral:rRNA from 1 species